GACGAACGCUGGCGGCGUGCUUAACACAUGCAAGUCGAACGGAAAGGCCCUGCUUUUGUGGGGUGCUCGAGUGGCGAACGGGGGAGUAACACGUGAGUAACCUGCCCUUGACUUUGGGAUAAAUUCAGGAAACUGGGGCUAAUACCGGAUAGGAGCUCCUGCUGCACGGUGGGGGUUGGAAAGUUUCGGCGGUUGGGGAUGGACUAGCGGCUUAUCAGCUUGUUGGUGGGGUAGUGGCUUACCAAGGCUUUGACGGGUAGCCGGCCUGAGAGGGUGACCGGCCACAUUGGGACUGAGAUACGGCCCAGUCUCCUACGGGAGGCAGCAGUGGGGAAUAUUGCACAAUGGGCGGAAGCCUGUUGCAGCAACGCCGCGUGCGGGAUGACGGCCUUCGGGUUGUAAACCGCUUUCGCCUGUGACGAAGCGUGAGUGACGGUAAUGGGUAAAGAAGCACCGGCUAACUACGUG
rnacentral:rRNA from 1 species